AAUUAACAGAUGACUCUACCUGAUUUAAGCUACAUAAGAGAAAAUGGAAAAUAAAAUGAAGCAUUGUAAACAACUUUAAAAAAGGAUAAAUAAUCAAAUAUGAACAUAAUAUAAGUCAUUUGCGAGAAUCUUAUAAGCAAGUCCUCCCUAAAUGAUUACAUUACGUAAAGAAAUUGUAAUUACAAGCACUUUGUACAGAAUCAAGUCAAACUGCAGAAUUAGAAUCGUUAGUUCAUAGUUUUAAACAAUUCCCAUGUUUGGAAUAAAAGAAAAUUGUUGCAAAUGAAAAUCCAUUUCUCUAAAAACUCAGAAUUAAAAAUUCAUCAAAUUGUGAUAGUAUUUCUAAUUGCUUUCAAAGCAAAUGGAAUUUGUAGUACCCACACUAAAAUUCUACGCACUAACCAAAAUAGCCAAUAUAAUCAAAACAAAACCAAUUCUCCUAGCAACCCCCCUAUCAUCCACAUAUUUGAUUUUAGUUCCAAGCAGGCAAGCACAAGAUUCAAAAUCCAAUUACUUAAAAAAUUGUUCCAAAACAUAAGAAACGCAACUCUAAUUAUAAAUAAUUUCCACACUAUGGUCUAAGAAUUCCAUUUCCAAUAGAAUUAGUUUUAAAAUUAACAGCUCCAAAAUAGCAAGCAGCAAAGUAAAGAAUCACCAACAGAUAAAUAAAUAGCUGAACCUGAAGUAGCAUUUGUAGAGA
rnacentral:misc_RNA from 1 species